UACGGGGGGAGCAAGCGUUGUUCGGAUUUACUGGGCGUAAAGGGCGCGUAGGCGGCCUCCGCAAGUCAGUUGUGAAAUCUCCGAGCUUAACUCGGAAAGGUCAACUGAUACUGCGGGGCUAGAGUGCAGAAGGGGCAACUGGAAUUCUCGGUGUAGCGGUGAAAUGCGUAGAUAUCGAGAGGAACACCUGCGGCGAAGGCGGGUUGCUGGGCUGACACUGACGCUGAGGCGCGAAAGCUAGGGGAGCGAACGGG
rnacentral:rRNA from 1 species